CAGUCGCCGCGGGAAUACGAAGGGUGCAAGCGUUAAUCGGAAUUACUGGGCGUAAAGCGUGCGUAGGCGGUGAGUUAAGUCUGCUGUGAAAUCCCCGGGCUCAACCUGGGAAUGGCAGUGGAUACUGGCUCGCUAGAGUGUGUCAGAGGAUGGUGGAAUUCCCGGUGUAGCGGUGAAAUGCGUAGAGAUAGGGAGGAACAUCAGUGGCGAAGGCGGCCAUCUGGGACAACACUGACGCUGAGGCACGAAAGCGUGGGGAGCAAACAGGAUUAGAUACCCCCGUAGUCCCUGUCUCUUAUAC
rnacentral:rRNA from 1 species